rnacentral:rRNA from 1 species
UACGAAGGGGGCGAGCGUUGUUCGGAAUUACUGGGUGUAAAGGGUUCGUAGGCGGUGCGGCAAGUUGGGAGUGAAAUCUCUGGGCUUAACCCAGAGGCUGCUUCCAAAACUGCUGUGCUUGAGUGUGGGAGAGGCGCGUGGAAUUGCAGGUGUAGCGGUGAAAUGCGUAGAUAUCUGCAGGAACACCCGUGGCGAAAGCGGCGCGCUGGACCACUACUGACGCUGAGGAACGAAAGCUAGGGGAGCAAACAGG